rnacentral:rRNA from 1 species
CCUACGGGGGGCUGCAGUGGGGAAUAUUGGACAAUGGGCGAAAGCCUGAUCCAGCCAUGCCGCGUGUGUGAAGAAGGCCUUCGGGUUGUAAAGCACUUUCAGUGGGGAAGAAAGCCUUGGGGCUAAUACCCUCGAGGAAGGACAUCACCCACAGAAGAAGCACCGGCUAACUCCGUGCCAGCAGCCGCGGUAAUACGGAGGGUGCGAGCGUUAAUCGGAAUUACUGGGCGUAAAGCGCGCGUAGGCGGUCUGAUAAGCCGGUUGUGAAAGCCCCGGGCUCAACCUGGGAACGGCAUCCGGAACUGUCAGGCUAGAGUGCAGGAGAGGAAGGUAGAAUUCCUGGUGUAGCGGUGAAAUGCGUAGAGAUCGGGAGGAAUACCAGUGGCGAAGGCGGCCUUCUGGACUGACACUGACGCUGAGGUGCGAAAGCGUGGGUAGCAAACAGGAUUAGAUACCCGAGUAGUC